rnacentral:tRNA from 1 species
GCACUUAUAGCUUAGUGGACAGAGCAUUACCCUCCGGAGGUAAAGGUCGCAGGUUCAAAUCCUGCUAAGUGCACGU